rnacentral:lncRNA from 1 species
CUGAAAACUCCCAGCAGCCAGCUAUGUAUGAAAGGUGGGGGCGGGACCACCGGCAGGGUGGGGCCUGAAGAGCCAUAUGCCUGGGCUCCCACAUCACAAUGGGAACGGGGCACGUGGAGCGUACUCUGGGCCUGAUUGGUUCCUGGGAACCAAGACAGAGUUCCCCUUGUUGGCAGGGCAACCUCCUUCAGUUGCUGGGAAGCAGUGGAAGGAGGAGGAGCUCCCUCUGUGCUCUCUUCUCUGCAAUCACAGCUCUGAGCUGGUUCUUUUUUUUUUUCACUGCGGAGAUAUUGCCAAAGCAGGACAUAGAAGAUUCACAUAAAAAGCACAUCUGCGUGGAGAAGGAGUGCCAUGUGACUCAGAUAACGAAGAAUAAGAUAACUCCAGACAAACUUCAUAAAGAACAAACAAAAUCAGCCUUAUCAAGAAAAAGGUCCUGGAGGUUCACACCAUGCCCACCUGCUCAUGUGUGUGUGCUGGACGGAGCCUGGCCCAGCUGGCUAUUCUUGAGGCCAAGUGUAACCCCUGAGCAGAGUAGGGGGACAUGGAACAACGAAGGGAGGGAAAAGAACAGCCUUGUCUCUUCCCUAGCCCAGUACUCAUGGCCCCAGGCAAAAUGGCUUUCACCUUCCAUUAGAGGAGCUCCAAGUCCCAACCCUGGAGACACAGAGGAUAUGAGAGGUCUUUGUCUGGUUCCCCUUUGA